CCUGCCGGGCUGUUGAGCGCCACAACCAAAUUACAAAAGCUAGAUUUGAAAGGUAAUCAACUUUUUCACCUACCUGCCGGGCUGUUCAACGCCACAACCAAAUUACAAAACCUAGAUUUGACCGGUAAUCAACUUGUUCACCUACCUGCCGGGCAACACUACAACCAAAUUACGAAUCCUGAGUUUGAGGAAAAAUGAUAUUGUUUACCUACCAGCCGAGCUGUUCAAUGCGACAACCGAA